rnacentral:rRNA from 1 species
AUUUUUGCCGAAUUCCUUUAUAUUACCUUAUUAUAUUUUUAUAAUAUUUUUAAAAAUAUUUUACUAAUUUUAUCAUUAUUACUAAUUUUUUUUUAUUAAAAAUUAUUUUUUUAUAUAAAUUUAAAUAUAUUAAUUUUAAAUUUUAAAUAAAUAUGAAAUUAUUUAUAAAAAACUAUAAUUUAUAAAAAAUAUAAAUUUUAAAAAUUUCAAAUAUUUAAAUAAUUUUAUUAUAAAAUUUUAAUUUAAAGCUUAUCCCCUAAAAUAUUAAAUUAAAAUUAAUUUUUUUUAAGAAAUAAAAAAAAAUUAAAAAUUAAUUAAAAAUUAAAUUUUUUUCUAAAAAAACUAGAUAUUUUUAAAAACGAUUAACAUUUCAUUUCCAAUUAAUUAUAAAAAAUAAUUAUGCAACAUUAACUUUAUUAAUUAAUUAACUCUUUUAAAUUCGAGAUAUUUUUACCUAAAAACCAUUAUUAAUAAACUCUGAUACACAAGAUACAAUAAAUUAAAUUUACUUUUUUUAAAAUUAUUAUUUCACUAUUUUUCAAAAUUCUUUCACAAUACUAAUUCACUAUAAAUAAUAAAAUUUUUUCUAUUUAAAAUACUUUAACCCCCAUUAUAUAUUUUAUUUAAAAAUUUUUUUUUUAUUUCUUAAUUAUAUUAAUUUACCCCCU